CACAAGGGCUUAAGAAGUGCUUGGGGCUCUUUUUCACUCUCCAGUGAAAGUGGGAUUACUGAGUCUGAAACCCUGGAAGCCCAGAGAAUCCCUCCAUCCUGAAGCUCCUUAAGCCACGGAGCCAUCCGGGCGACAGAGUCCAUGCUGCUCUAACUACUGCCCCGCACGGCCCCUCCAGAACGCUGGCUCGCAGGGAGGGGCCCCGGCAGAGCCUGUGCUUGCAUCGCCCUGGUAGGCUUAGUUCGGCUCCGGGGCCCAGUUUGGGCAGAUUGAGGAGGUCAAGGGCAGCUUAAUUAACUGCUGCUUGAACCGAAGGCCCCAGAAGGGCCUGCCCGGGAACCAGAGGCCCAGUGCUGGAGUAUAAUGGGGGCUGUGAUGUACCCGGAGCGGAAACCAGAGCACGGCGGCCGCCGCCCGGGGCCUCGCUCCCGGAGGCUCCGCUCGGGAGACGGAAUUAAAACCGAAGCAGGAGCUCGUCAGAAUUAGAGCAAAGGGACCGGGCUGUUCUUGAGGGAUGUUUCUGUCCUGCCUAACGAGCCUCCCUUCCCCCCUCUAGGGAUGCUGCUCUGUAAAGAACAGGUAGAGAAAGGUAGGGGCGGCAGCCAUCUGGCCUGGAUUCUCCCACACGACAGCCUGAUUUAGGCCCUUGGCCCCUUUCCUCAGGAAGCCGCAGAAAAGGGGGGAAGGACCGAGGACCCCGGGCCAGCGGCGCUUCUGCAAAUGCCCACUGCCCACCCGAGCCGCUCAGGAAGUGCUUCCUGUCUGCAGAGGGAGCUGGGCCCAGGCCUCGGGCCAGAGCUUCUCUCAGGGCAAAAUUAGAAAUGCCUGCUGCCGCCAGGUGCUCCGCAAAUAUGAGAUGCCCCCAUUUCACAGAGGAGGAGACUGAGGCCGUCUGAGGUGGAACAAUCCGACCAGCGCCACAUAGCCAAAGGCAAAAAAAGCAAACCGCAAACAUACAACCACCGACCAUCCUCCCGCAUGAGCCCGUGCACAAACAGGGAAAGUGAAAGGAAGAAAAGGCGGCGCCAUGGGCCCCGAGGGUCCCCAGCUCUCUCCUCGGGCAGCCCCUUUCACGGACUCCUCUAGAACUGGGUUGGGCGCUGACCGGAGGUCCCAAGUCCGGGGCCUCCCCUUGGGCCGCUCCCUCCAGUUCAUGAAAGGCCUGGCGGA